AUCACUUCUCAGCCUUCUGGCUAAGAUCAAGUGUAGUAUCUCUUCUUAUCAGUUUAAUAUCUCUAUAUCCUCUGUCCAAGACUUAUUUUUUUUUUUUUAAGAUCUUAUUUUAUUUGACAGAGAGAGACACAGCGAGAGAGGGGACACAAG
rnacentral:snRNA from 1 species